rnacentral:piRNA from 1 species
CUCUGGAUCGAUUACAAUGCAAAAC